UGGCGGACGGGGGAGUAAUGUCUGGGAAACUGCCUGGUGGAGGGGGAUAACUACUGGAAACGGUAGCUAAUACCGCAUAACGUCGCAAGACCAAAGAGGGGGACCUUAGGGCCUCUUGCCAUCGGAUGUGCCCAGAUGGGAUUAGCUAGUAGGUGGGGUAACGGCUCACCUAGGCGACGAUCCCUAGCUGGUCUGAGAGGAUGACCAGCCACACUGGAACUGAGACACGGUCCAG
rnacentral:rRNA from 1 species